rnacentral:misc_RNA from 1 species
GUUGUAAUUAUCUCUGCCCUGCUUAUCAGGGUAAUCCUCUUUUGGGUUCAGAUGAAAAGCGAGAUGAAUACUCCCUUGACGUUGGAAGAAGGGUUGAAGAAAAUAGAAGAUGCCAUUGCAAGGAAGAGGUUGAUCUCUGAUGCCCAGUGUGUCACUCCAUUUACUACCGCAGAAAAUAUGCUGAUAUACGAUUGUGUUUACAAGCUGUGCACCCAGAAGCGUAACUACGCAGAGCAUAUUUAUGAGAAAUAUGUGAGCUGUUUAGAAGAGAGAAUUAUGGAAAAGGUAAUUCCAAGAUUGUUGGGCAAACAUGGGGUAGCGCUGUUGAAAGAAGUAACACAAUCUUGGUCAGAGUUUAAGGCCUUUGCAGACUCUAUAUAUAAGUUCUUUGAAUUCUUGGAUCGUUUCUAUGCUCCAAGGAAAGGACUUCUAUAUAUUGCUGAUGCCCCAAAACAUUACUAUGGCAAUCAGGUUUGCGAGAGGCUAUAUGGAAAAAUUCAGGAAGCUGCGAUAAGCUUGAUUAUUGAAGAUCGUGAGGGGAAGGAUAUUGAUCGAAAUCUGCUCAAAGCUGUGCUUUGUUUAUUUAUAGGAUUAGGAGGCAAAGGAACCACAAAUUAUUAUGAAAAAUUUGAGCAGAUAAUGCUGGCAGAAACUGCAGCUUACUACUCUGAGUUGUCCAUGGAGUGGUGGUUUUGGCGCGAUUCAUUAACUUCCUACCUGCGCAAGGUUGAUUGGUGCUUAGUUCAGGAGGAAGCCAGAGCAGAAGUUUAUCCUUGCAAGACAACAAAAACAAAAUUACUGGAGGUUAUGAAAUAUAUAUUGCUGGAACGAAAUGCCAAGAGAUGGGCUCAGAAGCAAAAGGCUAAUGGGGUAGCAGCUGAAGAUCAGGAACUUCUGUCGAAGUAUGCUAGCUUAAGCCUUGAUAUAGGUAGCAGUGCUUCUGUGGCCACGGCAACAGACCAUUGAUUUUUGCACUUAAAAGGGUUUUUAUUGCAGAGCAUCUUUUUGCUGCAGGCCUUGUGUGGAAUAUGGUUCUGGUAGUUUAUGUAUUAGUGCAAGUACAUAUGGUUUGUAAUAACUAAACGAGCUACUGAUACAAUGGUGUAUAGGGCAAACCAGAAUUUAAAUUUAAC